GGGUAACUAUGCAAGCAUAAAGACAUGAGUAUCAUGACAUAGCCAGAACCCAUCAGAGCUGAGCAUGUUCUCAUGUACCUGUAACCCUCAAUCUGGGAGAAGAGAGUAUAGAGAAAGGGUCAGAGACAGGAGGAUUGCUGGAAUCUGCUAGCUGCCAAGCUAGCUCCAGGUACAGUGAGAGAGCCUUUCUGAGGGUGAUAAGUGACCAGAGGUAGAGCUGGACUCCAGGUCUUCUUCUAGGCCCUUCAAAUAUUCACAGGCGUCCAUACCCACACACGUGUGCAUAUACCACAUACACCUCCCCCACUCAAACACGUCCAUACCCACACACGUGUGCAUAUACCACAUACACCUCCCCCACUCAAACACAUCCAUACCCACACACGUGUGCAUAUACCACAUACACCUCCCCCCACUCAAACACAUCCAUACCCACACACGUGUGCAUAUACCACAUACACCUCCCCCACUCAAACACGUCCAUACCCACACACGUGUGCAUAUACCACAUACCCACACACGUGUGCAUAUACCACAUACACCUCCCCCCACUCAAACACAUCCAUACAUAUGUGGUAACUAAAUAAUUAAGUGUAAAAACAAUUAAAGCUAAAAAUUAGGCCAGGCGAUGGCAGGGCACGAUUUCCUUUGAUCCUAACACUGGAGAGGCAGAGGCAGGUGGAUCUCUGUAAGUUCGAGGCCAGCCUGGUCUACUGAGAGAGUUCCAGGAUAGCCAGGGCUACACAGACAAACCCUAUCUGGAAAACAAAAGGAAAUAAGUAAACAAACAAACAAACAAAUGAAUAAAUAAAACUUAAAAACCAACAACAGAGUCAGGUUUUAAUGAUGUUACACACGUUUAAUCCCAGCACUCAGAAGCAAGUAGAGCUUUGUUAUUUCAAGGCCAGCCUCAUCUACACAGCAAGUUCCAGGCCAGCCAGGGCUACACAGUGAGACCCUCACGACAAACAGAAAAGCAAAUUAACAAAGGAGAAUCUCUUUUAAAACAUGAGCAGAGAGGAGGUCGUUAAACCAUGGCAGGUUGUUUGGACUUCUAAACUAUUGAGGGUCAGGUCUUCCUCUCUUUCCCUCACUCUUUUCUCUGGUCAGAGCCCUCUCUGCCAACAUAGAGCCUGUCCAGUUGUUUAGGACCGAGGGAAAACUGUGCUACCCAGGGCUCGGACACAGGACACAUGUUGUGUGCCAUUGCUUGCUCGGGCUCAACCUGACAUGGAGCAUCCUCUGUGGGCUGGAGUUCAGAUGUAAAAGAAGGCAUCUCCUUCGCCACUCCAGUCCUUGCCAGUGUAGUAACCAUCACCCAGAGAGGAGAGAAGGCAGUCAGAGACGUCAGGCAAGGAUGACAUGCGACUCCUUUGCCUUAACGUGGGGGUUUAACAUGUUUGAAGUGGGAGAACGGAUUUUCUUGUUGAUUUGUGUCCUCCGAUUUUCCCCACAAGAACUUGUGAGACGGUUACUACUCAGUUCUUUGAGGCACUUCCUCCUGGGAAGGGUGGCUGUGGGGCAGUUGGGCUGGAUGGUUAUGGUUGGGCAAACAAGCUUAAGGGCUCCAAAGCCAGGGCCUUGUGGCUUUGGCAUUUACCUCCGGGGCUGUGGGGGUGAAGUUUGGAUCCAAGAACUGGAAAUCAGUUUGCUGCCAGAUGUGGUGGUACACAUGGCAGAGGCAGGAGGCAGCCUGAUCUACUUAGUGAGUUACCAGAGUUACAUAGUAAGAGCCUGUCUCAAAAAACAAAGUGAGAGAGAGAGAGAGAGAGAGAGAGAGAGAGAGAGAGAGAGAGAGAGAGAGAGAGAAUCAGUUUGUGGUUGUAGGCUGUGGUAGUGACUUGGGUAUUAUAUAACAAACCAAUGUACACUAAGAGGACAAAGCUGUAAUGAGGUUCAUGGUAAGGCAGUGAGGAAGCCCCACUCUCCUGUCUGCUCAGUCAUUGGUGCCUUCAUUUGCUCUCCACGACUCUGAGUGUCCCUAGACUUGUUGGCCACUCUUCCAUGGUGUUCUAAUUGAUGUUUUAGAGCACUUGUUUAUUUUUGCUUGAGGCAGGAUCUUACUAUGCAGCCCUGCUGGCCUAGAAGGCCCUGUGUUGAUUGGCUGGAGCAAUCCUGUCUCUGCUUCUGGAGUCCUGGCAUUAUAAGUGCGUGCUAUCAAGCUUGGCUUAAAUAACUUUUUCUGUUGAGUUCUCUACCUUCUUGAGACCCAGAGUGAGAUGACAUUGGGGUAGAAAUGCAGGCUGUCCUUAGGGGAAAUGGUAGCUAUUUUAACUGCAAGCUGUAAUUCCAAACCACACAACAGUAUUUUAAUUGCUUUUGGAUUUGACUACACUGGAAUUGGAGUUUCUGAAGAUAACCUUUUUUUUUUUUUUUUUUUUUUUUUUGCUUCAUGCAAGAAGCCCAGGGUAUAAUCCUUAUCAAAACUCAUCUAUGAGCUGCAUGUUGAAACCCCUGUAAGGGAAAGCAUGCUGUUUAUGGUGUUCUUUCAGCGUUCACAGAGGAUGUACCCUGAACUGUAGGCUUGUCUGAGGGAGAGAGUUCAGAUGGUACAUUUCUGAAGCAUUCCAGGGAUUUUCGGGAGUCUAUUGCGUAAGUCUCCCGUAAAGGCUCUUCAGCUGCCCACCUCCUGUCUCUUCCUUCCUAGCCUCAGGCACAAGCAUCUCUGCUCCAACAGCCAGCAAGCAACACAAUGAAUCAGGAUCCAAAUCUG
rnacentral:lncRNA from 1 species